AUGUGGCUCAGUGGUGGAGCAUUUGCCUGGCAUGCAGGAGGCCCUGGGUCCAUCCCCAGCAU
rnacentral:tRNA from 1 species